rnacentral:rRNA from 1 species
CGUGUCCUGUAGUGGGGGAUAGCCCGGCGAAAGCCGGAUUAAUACCGCAUACGCUCUACGGAGGAAAGGGGGGGAUCUUAGGACCUCCCGCUACAGGGGCGGCCGAUGGCAGAUUAGCUAGUUGGUGGGGUAAAGGCCUACCAAGGCGACGAUCUGUAGCUGGUCUGAGAGGACGACCAGCCACACUGGGACUGAGACACGGCCCAGACUCCUACGGGAGGCAGCAGUGGGGAAUUUUGGACAAUGGGGGCAACCCUGAUCCAGCAAUGCCGCGUGUGUGAAGAAGGCCUUCGGGUUGUAAAGCACUUUUGUCCGGAAAGAAAACGCCGUGGUUAAUACCCGUGGCGGAUGACGGUACCGGAAGAAUAAGCACCGGCUAACUACGUGCCAGCAGCCGCGGUAAUACGUAGGGUGCAAGCGUUAAUCGGAAUUACUGGGCGUAAAGCGUGCGCAGGCGG